AGUGAACGCUGGCGGUAGGCCUAACACAUGCGAGUCGAACGGCAGCACAGUAAGAGCUUGCUCUUACGGGUGGCGAGUGGCGGACGGGUGAGGAAUACAUCGGAAUCUACUUUUUCGUGGGGGAUAACGUAGGGAAACUUACGCUAAUACCGCAUACGACCUACGGAUGAAAGCAGGGGAUCUUCGGACCUUGCGCGAUUGAAUGAGCCGAUGUCGGAUUAGCUAGUUGGCGGGGUAAAGGCCCACCAAGGCGACGAUCCGUAGCUGGUCUGAGAGGGUGAUCAGCCACACUGGAACUGAGACACGGUCCAGACUCCUACGGGAGGCAGCAGUGGGGAAUAUUGGACAAUGGGCGCAAGCCUGAUCCAGCCAUACCGCGUGGGUGAAGAAGGCCUUCGGGUUGUAAAGCCCUUUUGUUGGGAAAGAAAAGCAGCAGGUUAAUACCCCGCUGUUCUGACGGUACCCAAAGAAUAAGCACCGGCUAACUUCGUG
rnacentral:rRNA from 1 species